GGAAGGACUUUAGCUCAGUGGCAGAACACCUGCUUUGGAUGCAGAAGGUCCUAGGUUCAAUUCUUGGUGCCUCCA